rnacentral:rRNA from 1 species
AACGAACGCUGGCGGCAUGCCUAACACAUGCAAGUCGAACGAGACCUUCGGGUCUAGUGGCGCACGGGUGCGUAACGCGUGGGAACCUGCCCUUAGGUUCGGAAUAACUCCCCGAAAGGGGUGCUAAUACCGGAUCAUGUCUUCGGACCAAAGAUUUAUCGCCUUUGGAUGGGCCCGCGUUGGAUUAGCUAGUUGGUAGGGUAAAAGCCUACCAAGGCGACGAUCCAUAGCUGGUCUGAGAGGAUGAUCAGCCACACUGGGACUGAGACACGGCCCAGACUCCUACGGGAGGCAGCAGUGGGGAAUAUUGGACAAUGGGCGAAAGCCUGAUCCAGCAAGGCCGCGUGAGUGAUGAAGGCCUUAGGGUUGUAAAGCUCUUUUACCCGGAAUGAUAAUGACAGUACCGGGAGAAUAAGCUCCGGCUAACUCCGUG